rnacentral:rRNA from 1 species
GACGAACGCUGGCGGCGUGCUUAACACAUGCAAGUCGAACGGAAAGGCCCUGCUUUUGUGGGGUGCUCGAGUGGCGAACGGGUGAGUAACACGUGAGUAACCUGCCCUUGACUUUGGGAUAACUUCAGGAAACUGGGGCUAAUACCGGAUAGGAGCUCCUGCUGCAUGGUGGGGGUUGGAAAGUUUCGGCGGUUGGGGAUGGACUCGCGGCUUAUCAGCUUGUUGGUGGGGUAGUGGCUUACCAAGGCUUUGACGGGUAGCCGGCCUGAGAGGGUGACCGGCCACAUUGGGACUGAGAUACGGCCCAGACUCCUACGGGGGGAAGCAGUGGGGAAUAUUGCACAAUGGGCGGAAGCCUGAUGCAGCAACGCCGCGUGCGGGAUGACGGCCUUCGGGUUGUAAACCGCUUUCGCCUGUGACGAAGCGUGAGUGACGGUAAUGGGUAAAGAAGCACCGGCUAACUACGUG